UACGAGGGGGGCGAGCGUUGUUCGGAAUUAUUGGGCGUAAAGGGCGCGUAGGCGGUGCGGUAAGUCACCUGUGAAAACUCUGGGCUCAACUCAGAGCCUGCAGGCGAAACUGCCGUGCUGGAGUGUGGGAGAGGUGCGUGGAAUUCCCGGUGUAGCGGUGAAAUGCGUAGAUAUUGGGAGGAACACCAGUGGCGAAGGCGGGUAGCUGGGCCGACACUGACGCUGAUGCGCGAAAGCCAGGGGAGCGAACGGG
rnacentral:rRNA from 1 species